GAAAUCCUGGGCAACCGGGAGAGUAAAGUGGCGCACGGGUGAGUAACACGUGGGUAACCUGCCCUUGAGUUGGGGAUAACUCCGCGAAAGCGGGGCUAAUACCGGAUAAUACCCCGUUUUCCUCGGGAAACGGGGUCAAAGGUGGCCUCUGCAUGCAAGCUACUGCUCAAGGAUGGGCCCGCGUACCAUUAGCUUGUUGGUAGUGUAACGGCCUACCAGGGGAAAGAUGGUUAGCUGGUCAGAGAGGAUGGCCAGCCACACUGUUUUUUCGACACGGUGAAGACUCCUAAAUUUCCUCCUUGGGGAUU
rnacentral:sRNA from 1 species